CUAAGGUGGCCAGGGUUAGGGAAUAACGGAUUACAUGUAAUGUAAGGGAUUACAAAAAAAUGCUAACUGUAAUCCGUUACCAGCAAAAAUAUUGUAAUCAGAUGAACACUGAAAAAUGGGACAAUGUGGGCUGUCAGAUUUACGAAAACAUGUUAUUUAUGAUUUACUCAGGCAUGUUUUGUUUCUCCUCUCAACAUGAUUUCAUUGCUUGCAAUCAAUGCAACACGAAGCAAAAUCAGAUAUAUUAGUUUGAAUCUGGUCGGGGGAGUGUGAACCAAUAAAGUUAAUUCAUGAUGAGUAAUGAGGAACAAUUCAAACCACGCAAGAGAAGAAUCUUCCAGAAAGAACGCUGGCGCUUUAGCUGAGAAGACAGAUUCUAGGUACUUUGCCAAGUAGAAACAGAAGAGAACACUGAGAAACAGAAGAGAACAUUGAGGACAUGCGGAAAGCUCUACUGUCCGAUGUGAAGAAAAGAAACAACAGAGAGACAGGAGACAUGAAGUUGUCCAUGAUGCACCCAUGGUAGAGGACUCCAUGGCAAGAUGACCUGCGCUCUUUGAAGUCAUUGAGGUCAAUGCUGUGUUUGAGAGAAUCAUCACAUCCCCACUCCAGCCCAAAUUUCUUUCUCAACUUGAUAUACACUCCGAUAACCUGCUGAAGUUCUUCCAAAGAAGAGGAGGACAGCCAGGCAGAAGACUCAUAUCAAUAAUGGCACCUAUGGCUGAUGGCAUGGAUGAAGAGUCCACCAAGGCUGCCAUUGAGGACACUACUGUGGGGAUCUACAUUAUCAAAGACCAUGCCACGAGUGAGGAACCAGAGGACACUGGGAUUGUCCUUGAAGGCAUCAAGGUGUUGCAGGAUCUGGGCAACGUAGCAUUUGCUGUUGCAAUGCUGUUUGGCCUCAUGUAUGCCAUGAACCUUACUUACCCUACUUAGCUCCGCUCCACCUUAAGUCUUUCUGAGGGUUUUUAUGGAACUGAAUGGGGAAAACUUUCUAACAAAGCUGUUGCAACCUUUCUGGGAUAUUCGGGACGGUAGCGGCCCACCUCAACAACAGCCAGUGAAAGUGCAGGGCGCCAAAUUCAACACAACAGAAAUACCAGAAUUAAAAUUCCUCAAACUUGCAAAUAUUUCACACCAUUUUAAAGAUAAAGUUGUUGUAAAUCCAGCCACAGUGUCCAAUUUCAAAAAGGCUUUACGACGAAAGCACACCAAACAAUUGUUAGGUCAGUACCUAGUCACAGAAAAACACAACCAUUUUUCCAGCCAAAGAGAGGAGUCACAAAAAGCACAAAUAGAGAUCAAAUAUAUCACUAACCUUUGAUUAUCUUCAUCAGAUGACACCCAUAGGACUUCAUGUUACACAAUACAUGUAUGUUUUGUUCGAUAAAGUUCAUAUUUAUAUCCAAAAAUCUCAGUUUACAUUGGCAUGUUACGUUCAGUAGUUCCAAAACAUCCGGUGAUUUUGCAGAGAGCCACAUCAAUUUACAGAAAUAUUCAUAAUAAACUUCCAAAAAGAUACAAGUGUUAUGCAUGGAAUUUUAGAUCCACUCCUCCUUAAUGCAACCAUCAGAUUUUAAAAAAGCUUUGCCGAAAAAGCACACCAUACAAUAAUCUGAGUACAGCGCUCAGACAACAAAACAAGCC
ensembl:lncRNA